rnacentral:lncRNA from 1 species
UUUAAAACUGUACAAGCAUGCAGGUUCUAUAUACACAGGUGGUGUACGUUGGGUUUAGAUAUGCAUGCAUGUAUAGAAGUGCAUGAUGCACCAGGUAGUGUGUGCGAAAGUGAAGGAAAGAGUGUGAGAGAGAGAGGGAGAUUUGAAAAGAGAGUUAAUUUGAGUGACUUAAAAAGAGAGUUUAGAGUUUGAGUUUAAACUACUUAAUUCAAAAAAGAAGUUGGUGUAAUAUUUUUUUAGUUGACAAAUAUCUUCUCACAUAUAUUUGCAUUCUCCUUCUUGUUAUAUUUCUAUCUCUUUUAUCUUGACAUUUCGGCUUCAAAAUUUUCUAUCAAUCUUAAACGACGUACACACAGUGUAAUAAAAUUUACAAAAACGUAUAACAACGCUGUGUUUUCGCAACUUCAUGUUGGCUUAAAUAGGCCAGGCUGGCCAGCAUCCUGCCCUGUGGCGGGAGGCUAGGUGGGCCGAGUCACAAUCAAGAUCCGUGGGCGCUGUUUCUGUACGUUUUAAGUGAAUUGGUUGCGUAUUUCUAACAGCUCGAGCUUUUGGGAUUAAUGGUUAGAGCCAAUGAUCCGACAAGUGGUAUCAGAGCCAGAGGUCACGGGCUUGAUUCCUGCAUGCUGCAAAUGUGUGCAGGUGGGCCGAAUCACAAUCGAGACCCGUGAGCGCUGUUUCUGUACGCUUUAGGUGAAUUGGUUGCGUAUUUCUAACAGCUCAAGUUUUUGAAAUUAAUAGUUAGCGCCAACGAUCCGACACUUCAGACGGAAUCUAUAAUAUCACGAACAAUACACCAUCCAACAAUAC